UUGUGGGGGGAUUAGUGGCGAACGGGUGAGUAACACGUGAGUAACCUGCCCUUGACUCUGGGAUAAGCCUGGGAAACCGGGUCUAAUACUGGAUACGACCUUCUGGCGCAUGCCAUGUUGGUGGAAAGCUUUUGUGGUUUUGGAUGGACUCGCGGCCUAUCAGCUUGUUGGUGGGGUAAUGGCCUACCAAGGCGACGACGGGUAGCCGGCCUGAGAGGGUGACCGGCCACACUGGGACUGAGACACGGCCCAGACUCCUACGGGAGGCAGCAGUGGGGAAUAUUGCACAAUGGGCGCAAGCCUGAUGCAGCGACGCCGCGUGAGGGAUGAAGGCCUUCGGGUUGUAAACCUCUUUCAGUAGGGAAGAAGCCUGUCUUUUGGGUGGGUGACGGUACCUGCAGAAGAAGCGCCGGCUAACUACGUGCCAGCAGCCGCGGUAAUACGUAGGGCGCAAGCGUUAUCCGGAAUUAUUGGGCGUAAAGAGCUCGUAGGCGGUUUGUCGCGUCUGCCGUGAAAGUCCGGGGCUUAACUCCGGAUCUGCGGUGGGUACGGGCAGACUAGAGUGCAGUAGGGGAGACUGGAAUUCCUGGUGUAGCGGUGAAAUGCGCAGAUAUCAGGAGGAACACCGAUGGCGAAGGCAGGUCUCUGGGCUGUAAC
rnacentral:rRNA from 1 species